rnacentral:misc_RNA from 1 species
GUAUCUUAUUAAAUUUAUGUCCUGUCAUCUAAUUCAAACAUGAAUGAAAUAAGAUUCCUUUCGUUGCAAUUGGUUGUUUAUUAAGCAAAACCAGAAGCAUAAGCAUAAUAAACUUGCAAUGAGUUUGCCAAAUGUUCUGUUUGGUGAACGUUUUGAAAGAAAUUUUUUUAAGAAAUCGCAAUAAUUUUAAAAAGGUUUCAUUAUACACACCAGAAUGGAAAAAAUAGAAUAUAAAAGAUUUAAUACUAUUUAUAUUUACAUAAAUCAUAAAAAAAAUAAAUAAACAAUUAUGAUAUCAUUCUUCAAGCACGUAAUUUUUUAAAUAUUUCUACCUUAUUUCAUAGCAUAAGGUUUGCGACUUCUUAGCAAAAAAUGCUUGUAUUCGUUAUGAGUGUGUAGCAUGGGACUGAUUUUAUGAUUUUUUUCCUAACGACCCCAAGUUCUUUCUGUUUCUUGUUGUUGAAAAUACAUUUACAUUUUGUUAUUCUUGUAUUACGUAAUGUUUGCAAUAAUGCAUACUUUUGAAUGAAAAUAAAAUUACUGUAAAUUGCCACUUUUGAAUAAAAAGUUCAAAAUUAAAUGAUACUGCUCUAAUUGC